rnacentral:piRNA from 1 species
UGCUAUUCUCGGUAGUCCUACGCAUGA